UACGUAGGGGGCAAGCGUUGUCCGGAAUUAUUGGGCGUAAAGCGCGCGCAGGCGGUUUUUUAAGUCUGGGGUCUAAGUGCGGGGCUCAACCCCGUGAUGCACUGGAAACUGGGGAACUUGAGUGCAGAAGAGGAGAGCGGAAUUCCACGUGUAGCGGUGAAAUGCGCAGAUAUCAGGAGGAACACCAAUGGCGAAGGCAGCGCGCUGGGACGUGACUGACGCUGAGACGCGAAAGCGUGGGGAGCAAACAGG
rnacentral:rRNA from 1 species